rnacentral:lncRNA from 1 species
UAGGAUGCAAGGAUUUCAGACAAGUAUCUGGAACUGCAGGUAAAAAUUAGUUCCUAAUUUCUCUCUCUCUCUAAUUUUCUCUCUUGAGUCAAGAUUGGACAGGCUUCCAUGAAUCAAAACUUAAUGGUGGUAGCCACGAAGCUCUGUUCACUUCUUUUUGACCUAUAUCCAAAAAUUCUUUAUGAAAGCGAGCCUUGAAGAUUGCCGCCUCCAAGUCCCAUUUCGAACUCUUUAUUGGAGUCUUUAUGAAUCAAGCCUUAAUGGUUUUAGGCACCAACUCCUGUUCAAACUCAUCCUAAGUAAGAAAUAGAUCUUAUUUUUAUUUUAUUUUUUAUUUUUUUGAAGAAAUGGAUAGAACUGAAAUAUAAAUCACUAACUAAUCUAGGGUCGAAAUUUAGAGAGAGAAAAUGUGAUAAUAAUCUACACAAGGCGUUACCUUCCAGACCUGUAUGAAGAAUCCGAUCCCAUGUAUACCAAGCCCCAAGACAAGCGGUUAUGUCAGAUUUAGUGUUGGAAAUCAGCUUUGGUUACUUCAUACAGUCAAGGCAAGUGUGUAGUUGAUAGGUUGAUCUGCUUUAGCAUCUAUAGUGCUAUCUGCAAUCAGUAAAUCUAAAAUGGUGCUAAAGAUUGGUUAGAUAUUCAAGUUUAAAUCAAUAUAAGAUCAUAGUCCCAUUUUCAAUAGCUAAGCAUAAUUUAUUAAAAUUCUUUUUAUAUAAGAAUAAAAUAAAUUAUAUCAGUAAAUCUCCUCCUAGACUUAAAUUACACUGUCCCAGUGUAACUCAGUCGGUGUUAUGAUGGAAUAAUUCAUAAGUACGAUAACAAGUAAGGAAGAUACAUCUGACCGGAUUAGAUAUCGAUCGAUGUGAAAAUGUUGCAUCGAUCGUCAAAAUGUUAUGUCAUCGAUCGAUCAUGUGAUGUGUCUCGGCGUCGAGCGAUGUUGACGUCUCAUCGGCGGUCGAUAUUCAGGUCCUUCUACUUGGGUCUCCUAAAUCUGAAAGAAAAAAACGAAAGUAAAUAAAUGCUAGCUAAUAAAACCAAAUAAAAUACCUAAUGUGGGUUGUCUCCCACUCAGCGCUUGGUUAUAGUCAUUUAGCUUGACUGUGGUAGUGAUUGGCUAUUUGGUGGAUAAACAGCUGCUUGUUGGAAAACAAGCAUCCACGUCAUCUCUGCACAUUCUGGACCAAGAUGCAAUGAAACUUCUUGUGGGCUCAUCAUUUCUUGUCCACUUGUCAUCCAUCUUCUUAAGUACAUUGGAGAUGUUCUGUAGCCUAUCUUGAAUGUUGUCAAUGCUGACCUGGUGCCAGACUAUUUUCAUAGGCGUAUGAUGAAUGUUCUGUCAGUUCUCGUGCAUUGACUCUCGUUUUGUGUAUCAGCUGCUUGCCGGCUGGUGUAACUCGGCGUCGAUCAAUGCGAUUAAGUGUUCGUCGGUCGAUCUCGGCGACUUACCAUAGAGCGAUUUCGCUCGCUUCCUGUCGAUCGAUGCUGAUCUGGUGUUGAGCUGCGAGUUGCCUCUGAAUGGCUUUGACUUCUUUCUGUAGCCAUUCUGCGUGGCUGUCUAGUCCACCGAUUCUGUUGUCGAAUGGAAAGUAGAUGUCAUCGCAGCGUUUGUCAAGUCGUUCCUCCAUGGUGUCUAUAGCAGUGUAGAUCUUGGAUGUGAUCUUGUCAACCUCUGCUGCUGUGUAGGGAAGUAACUCCACAGGAUUCUUCCAUCGAUCCAUGGCCCUCGUAGCCUGUCGAUCGAAAAUGAGUUUGCCUGUAAAAAAUUUUCAUUAGUAAUUUUAUCAAUAACCUUUGGGCAUGAAGUAUUUGACUAGACAAUUUUUUAAAUAUAGCAUGACUGGUGAUACGAAGCGGUCAUGCAUGUCGUCGUAAGUAUGCAGCCUAUCAUCCAUGGCAGAAUCUUAGCGUCGAGCGAUGUGAUGUGAUGGUACACACGUCGAUCGAUGUGGCUGGUUGUUGGUCCUUCUUGCGAAUGGUGUCCAGAUCUUUGCUGUAGUAGCUCGAUUUUAGUGCUCAGCCAGUCCACGUUGUUGUUGAGAGGGUAGUACACGUCGUUUAUCCUCGUGUUGAUGUAUGAGACUUCCCAUUCAUCCUUGUGUUCUGCUGAACAUUGAGGUUCUGCAGGGAUCUGGGCUGUCGGAAGACUGACGUCGAUCGAUGGUGCAUGUGGUGCGUCGAUCGAUUCUGAGGUCGUGGCUUCCUUCUCAAGUUGCUGUCGUAAACUCUCAAUUUAUGUCCUCAUUUCUACCAUACGUCUGAAAAGCUCAUUGUAGCCUCUAUCGAAAGGUUGAUGUGUAUCUUUUACCAAUGAUUUGAGCUCCUCUCCCAGUUUUUCCUGAGCUCCACAAAUACCAGUCACCAUCUCAUUGAUUUCAUCUUUGGUGUAGAGAUCUGGUGCCAAUCUUGUGAGUGUGAAGGAAGUGGCUUGUUCUGGAAGACAGAUGUGGCUCUCUUCAAAAAGAGAUGCUCUUUCCAGUAAUUUCCUGAUGUCCUCCUUUGUGACAGGUAUCAUCUCACCAGCUACGCCUCGUGCGUGUCCACACUCAUCUCUGUAGACUCCAUACUCGUCCCUUCAUUCCCAAGUGAACUUUCUGGCUCCGUACAUGUCAAAAGCGCGUUAUCCAAAUUCAUAACGUCUGUCGAUCGACGUCUGGUCAUCCUUAUCGGUCGACGUUGGUGUUAUCUUGUCGAUCGAUGUCUGAGUUGUCCCAUCGAUCGAUGCUUGGCCUUUUGGUUGGCAUGAUAGAUAUGGAUUGAUUUAUGUUGUGGCGACUCCUACGUGUUUAUUUUGAUUGGUUUGAAUGACGUCUGGAGUGCCACGUUGCUGUGAGAUUAGGUUGUCAGGUCCAUUGGCCACUUGAAGGAUAUCUUCUAUGUCCUCUCUGGACACUUGUAAGAUCCUUCCAUCUAUUGCACGUGCGUGCGUUUGCCAUCUGGGUCCCUGAAAAUACAAAUGCAUCAGGUGUUAAAAAACUGUAAUCAAUGUUUGCAUUACCAUUCAAUUUAGAAAUAGAAAGAUUAGGUUUAAGAGUAGUAUCGAUCGAUGUUGAUACAGAUGCAUCGAUCGAGGGCAGAAUAAUUUCUGCAGAACUUGUUCUUUGUGUUCAUGGAUUUUCCUGUUGAUGUAGACGGAAGAGUGUUCAUCUUUUCUGCUUGUGUGUCUGCUCUGGUGUGUGGAGGUGGUUUCAGGGUGCAAAACGUUUUAAAUAGGUAUCUAUAAACCUAGUUGGAGAGGGAAUAUUCUCCUGCUCUUAGAUUUUCGCUCCGGCGCAAAAAUCGAUCGAUGUUCCUAUAUGGGUGUCGAUGGAUGUGAGCGGUUGUUUUGCUGGACGAGGGUGGGUAUCGACCGAUGUGGAGUGCAUUCGUCGAACGAUGUUGGAAAGGUGUUGGUGAACUUAUGUGUUUCAAAUCUUUCAUCUGCAAAGACAUUCUAUUGCACGUUCCUUCCAAUAAUCCUCAUCGUAUUCCUCUGUUUGUUCCUCGUUAGGUGAAGUAAUUACAGUGUCAACUGCAAAACUUUCAUCGAAACCACUAUCUGCCCAACUACCUAUGGAAUACUCAUCACGUCCUCUCUUGCUUGGAGGUUGGAAGGCAAAGUGUGGAUAACAAUGAUUAGGUAGAGCGAAAUGGUCAACGGCUGAUCAACGUCGAGCAACAUUUUGUUGCGGUCAUCGGUCACCGUUGACUCAUUGGAAUCGAUCGAUGGAAAGGUGUGGGUGUCGAUCGAUUCCGAGUACUCUGUUUCGUACUCUGAUUCGUACUCUGUUCCACAAUGGCAUGCGCCAAUGAAGCCAAGUUCUUUACCGUAAUCCACAGAAUUAAUAAUUUUUCUCUUAGGUCGGAUAGGGUCGUAGUGGAUGUUGGGAUCUAUCAGCAUCAGACACAAUUUGUUUUUGUUCAUGUCACAUACAGCUCCUACUGUAGCUAGGAAAGAUCUUCCAAGCAGAAGUGAGUUCCAGUUAAGUUGAUGUCCAAGACAUGAAAAUCUACCGGACAAGGGCAUUACCAAUCUGUACCUCCAGAUCUCUUAUGAUACCUCCUGAUUGUUUUUCUGAAAGACCCACGAAGGUGAAGGAUUCUGUUGAAGGUUCGAUGGUCAAACCAAGAUGGUCUGCCAUGAUCCUAGGGAGGAUACUAACUGAUGCUCCGUGUCCACAUUGAAUGGGGAAAUUCAACACCCUUGACUACGCAUGGUAUGCAAACUCCCAGGAUUACUCUUCUUCGACAAUGUGAUCCUGUGUCUCAUCUUCUCUCUGACUUGAUGAAACAUUCUCUAACGUCUCCUCAGUUACCUUUGUUUCUCUGAAGAACAUCCACAACCUGUGUGUGAAGUAAGCUUUAUCAAAAGGUUUUUCGAUUGGGAUUCUGAGGAUUCUUUUAGUGAAACCAUCCAUCUCCUUAUCGUUAGCUUCCCUCUUAAGGUACUUAGGAAUUUUCUCCUUUCUUUUCCUUAACCUUCUCCCUUCAGUUUCCUGAUCUUCUUGGACUGGUUCUGGUGAACUAUUUAAAGGGUUGGGUUUUGGUUCAGGUGGGCUAUCCAUUGGUUUAGGUGGUGGUUUGAGUGCGUUGAGUAACCGCACUCGGUAUGUCAGAGGUGCCUGUCGAUCGAUGGGAAGUGUGUGUUUUGACGAUCUACGUCAGACUCACUCUGUCGAUCGAUGGUUGGGUCAACCGAUCGAUCGAUUUUAUCAUAGAAAGGGGAGGGUGGGUGAGGAUGCUUAGCUGUGAAUUCCUCAUGAGUUAGAAUUCGAACUGCAUUGCAUUCAGUCGAUUUAGCGGACGACGUCGAUCGAUAACUGGAGUAAUCCAUCCAUCGAUCUUCGUCAUGGUCUGUCGAUCGAUGCGAGUUCAUCGACAUCGGUCGACACCAUUCGGACCCUUCGAGACUUAUGGAGCUUUCGAUUUUGAAGUCUCCUUCCUCAAGCUUUUCAUGUCUCACCACUUGCGAGGUUACGGGGUGUUUUCCUUUUGUCAGCUCCUGCCUCUCUGGCGAAAGCUUCUUGCCUCUUUAUAGUUUCGCCAGUCUGAAUCACUUGUGUUUCAAGUGUUCUCACCUGAGUCCCUAAGGUCUCGAUUUGGGUGUUCAGAUUGUUGUAGGCGGAGUCUAUUUUACCAUUGAAAUCCACGGUGAUAUGUUGUUGUCCCAACAGUACUCGAUCAAGCAUUUCUCGAUCUUGUUUCCUGAGUCUGGGGUGGUGGAUUCUAAUAGUAGGAGUUCGAGUAGCUUUUGCUGUUGUUGAAGGGUUUUUGAAAUUGUGAACUCUGGUUACUUCUUUGACCAUUUCCAAAAGAAGUUUCUGUUCCGCCCUGGUUUCCAAAUUUCUGGGAAUCUGAUACCUCCGAUGUAGUUCACAUUUUCUUCUCCUUCCGUAUCUGCUACUUCUCCUUCAGCUAAACAGACUUGCUUCCUAAGAAGCUUGUGCACCACAUCUAACUUAGCUCUUACUUCGUCCAUCUGUUCCUUCCCGAUAGAAGCUACAGACUUCUUCCGUUCAGAGUCAGUGUUUUUGGUGCUGCUGCUGCACUUCGUUAAAUCCGUGGUGUGGACAGUCUCGCUGGAAGAACCUAAAUCUAAUCCACGCAUCUUUAAAGGACUCUCCAGCCUCCUGCGAGAAUGUGGAAAUUUUGUUUCGAAGUUCUUCAGUGCGCAAUUUUUGAUGUUUGUAACCUUUGGUAUCUUGUACCUUUUGGUCACUAACACCCGUUGGCAACUCACAACCUUUGUUAACUCACGACUAUAGGCAACUCGUGCCCUUUGGGUCAUUCCCAACCGUUCGUCUUAACUGCCCAGUCUUGGUGCGAUCGGAUCGUCCGUCUAACCGCCCCGUGUCUAGGCCAGCGGUUUGAUUAUGUUUGGCCAAAGCCUAGGGACGUGUCCCUUGGACUCAACCAACACAACCUUUCGUGUUUAACCAGAGAGAAGAGAAGAGAAACGAAUUGAAACAGAUAAGGAGAGCCGAAUGGGACUUGGAACCGAGCUGAGCCGCGGUGAGGUCACAUGGACCGUCCGUUCGGUCUGAUGGAGCCACGGCCCAUCACAAACCUUGUGAACCACGUCUGGGUUCUCAAUGCUCUUUUUCUUGUCUUUAUCUCCCAUUCUUGACCGGAGUUAGUUCCCAAACGAUCAGAGUCUCCGGAACACAACACCACCACACUCGGCCUUUCUCUUGGCCGAAACACUCUCUUUCUCUCUUUCUUUCUCUCUACGUUUUUCUCUGAGUAUUUUACUCUGGAAUUGGAUAAUGAUAUCAACAGGAGAGCCCCCAUAUUUAUAGAAAACGAGGGGGUAAGUCUUGCCCCACGAACAGGCACGACUUGCUAGCGAAUGGGCACCAUCGGCCAAGGGUUGUGCCCUUUCGGCCACUUGCAUCCCUUCGCCCUUUCUGAUUGGGUUUGGGGUCGGUCAUAAGCCCAACCCACGCCCCAAGCCUCCUGGACUUAGCCCACGGCCUUGUCCAAAUACCCAACAGCCCUUGGCUCAUGGCCGGACCUCCCAGCCCGCCACUGACCCGGACCCGGACCAUCGGUCUAGCUGAGAUGAGCUGACUCCCAGAUCCCUCAGCUGAGUGAGCUAGUAGUCCAGCUAGUGGACCUGACUUUGUAGUGGCUGAGCUGGAGUGAAAUCAACCUAGCUUCGUUAAGCUGGUCGAGCUACUUCACCAUCUCGUCCGGCUACCGUCUCACUCGUCUUAGCUGUCUCUUUACUCGGCCUCAACCUUCUUUCUUGGCCAUGGAACGCUUGCCUUUAUGUCCCAAGACUGGCUGGUACAUUUCCUCGAUCCAUGGCCGUCCCAACAAUCUUAUUCAGGAUCGGGAAUGUGACAUGGGCUGUCUGUUCAGUAAACAAAGGCGCCCGUGGGUUUCUGCCAGCACACAAAGGAUGUCAGUGGCUGUCCGUCAGCACACACAGGACGUCCGUGGCUGUCCAUCAGUACAUAUAUCAGCACGCUGGUCCUUGGACUCAGCAUGCUGGCCCUUCAGGUGGACUGUUUGGGUGAUUUUGGCCAACGUAGGCUGUCUGUUCAGUACACACAGGACGUCCGUGGGUGUCCGCCAGCAUACACAGGACGUCCGUGCUGUCUAUGGCUGUCCGUCAGCACACACAGGACGUCUGUGGCUGUCCAUCAGUACACAUAUCAGCACGCUGGUCCUUGGACCCAGCAGGCUGGCCCUUCCCGUGGACUGUUCGGGUGAUUUUGGCCCAGGUGGGCUGUCUGUUCAGUACACACAUGACGUCCGUGGGUGUCCGUCAGCACACACAUGACGUCUUUGUGUGUCUGUCAGCACACACAGGACGUCUGUGGCUGUCCGUGUGUGCCCUUGUGUGUCCGUCAGCACACACAUGACAUCUGUGGCUGUCCAUAAGUACACAUAUCAGCACGUUGGUCCUUGGACUCAGCACGCUGACCCUUCCCAUGGACUGUUCGGGUGAUUUUGGCCCAUGUGGGCUGUCUGUUCAGUACACACAGGGCGUCCGUGGGUGUCCGCCAGCACAUACAGGAAGUCCUUGGCUGUCUGUGUGUGUCCGUGUGUGUCUGUCUGCGUCUGUCAACACACACAGGACGUCCGUGGCUGUCCAUCAGUACACAUAUCAGCACGUUGGUCCAUGGACUCAGCACGCUGGCCCUUCCCGUGGACUGUUUGGGUGAUUUUGGCCCACGUGGGCUGUCUGUUCAGUACACACAUGACGUCCGAGGGUGUCCGCCAGCACACACAAGACGUCCGUGGAUGUCUGUGGCUGUCCGUUAGGACACACAGGACGUUCAUGGCUGUCUGUGUGUGUUCGUAUGUGUCCGUCAGCACACACAGGACGUCUGUGGGUGUCUGUCAGCACACACACGACGUCUGUGUGUGUCCGUCAACACACACAGGAUGCCGUGGCUGUCCGUGUGUGUCCGUGUGUGUCCGUCAGCACACACACGACGUCCGUGGCUGUCCAUCAGUACACAUAUCAGCACAUUGGUUCUUGGACUCAGCACGCUGGCCCAUCCUGUGGACUGUUUGGGUUAUUUUGGCCCACGUGGGCUGUCUGUUCAGUACACACAGGACGUCCAUGGGUGUAACACCCCCGAACCGUCCUAAGCAUAGGUCAACCCACCAGCCAACAAUCAAACAAGUACAUGACCGACGGACGACGCACACCAAGGGUUGGAGAUGAAAGGCCAACCGGCCAGCCAACAAUCAAACAAGAACAUGACUGACCGUCCAACCCAACACCAUGGUCCGGAAGCGCUACGUGACGGGCAAGGGACAAUCCGUUCAGAGUCACAAACUUUACUCCACGACCUAGACCAGUUCAUCCACUAACUCGUCCCGCUGCGUCAAGGCAUAAGGCUUUGCAACCCGUACCUAGAGUUAGCGUUUUCCGUUAGAUCAAGGCCUAAGGCUUUUCAACCCGUACCUCGACCUAACGUUGUGUUAGACCGGACUAGUCAAAUAUCAGGGUACUCAUGAAGCGCAUAUAAAACAAUUACUUUUAUUGAUUCAAGAAAUAUUCAUACAUUGAAUAAUUCAAGACUGGGCCCGGCCUAAUGCCAAAUCGAGUCAACAUAACACAAUUCACAAUACCGUUUACAAAAGGCAUGAAAAUCUACACCGGCGGUCCUAACGUCCAGCACGAAGCUAUCCGAUCUUCCUUACCUAAAGCGACUUGCAAAAAGGGCAAUGGAGUUGGAUGAGUAAUCUAGUAUUACUCAGUGAGCUGGCGGCCUCUACCCGCAACCUAGACUCUACCCAGACAACCCAAAAUAACAAUCAAUCUAGCCCUAGCAUGCAAUAAAAGCUAAGGCUAAGCAAACCGUUACUAAGUUAGACUUGGCCUCCUGCCAUGAUCUAGCUUCAAGUAACGGGAACCUGCAUUAAAAAAAUUCAACAAACAAUCCCUAGUUAACCAUAUAUACGCCUGAGUUCAGUACUCAUGUAGUGUUAGACACUUAUACUAUACAAGUAUCACUAGUCGAUCGACCAACUAUCAAACAAGAACAUGAUCGGCCAACCAAUGAUACCGCAUAUCUUUAAUAUCCACCACCCUUCACAAGCAAUCCCUCAAACACAUACAGGCCAACGUCAGGCCUACAAUAACCAAAUACACACCAAGCCUAAUCCUGUACCUAAGCCAGACUUAGGACUUAAUGUCAGAACCUGCAAGCAAAUCAAUCAACCACAAACACAAUCACAAUAAUAAGACUAUGAGUAUCUACGACUCGAUCUAACUCGUAACACCGUAUAUCAGUGCUACACUGACUCGAGGGUUCCAUAACCCUCUACGACACACUAACACAACACUCUAACCUGGGCCCUGGUGACUUCGUGUUCCUCCUCUCUAUCGGCAAUAUCCUAUCUCCCUACCACAAAGGCCAGAAGAAGUAACUUUCAACCGACCGCGGCCCACAGUCAUUCGGCUCACCGCGCGACAGCCCACAGUCCUUCGGGUCACUGCCACAUUACACCGUCGUGUAAUACUCAUCCAUAGUACAUGACACUGUUCGUCUGAGUCUUCCCGAUCCAGCGAAUAAGGGGUUUCCUUGAACCCGCUGGGUACGAGGCCGAGGAAACACUAAUCACCCCUACACAAGCCUAGUAUGGGCGGGUUACGCACAUACUGUCGGCAACACUCAAACAACACAAACUCAAUCUAGAACCUAACGUAACGAUAAAUUUCCAGAUCCUAACUAGACACUCGACUCCACAAUACUAACUAUUGUACCAGUAGUCCGGCCUAUAUGGCCUAAGACCCUUUGUACUAACUACUAAACAACAAUAUCAAUACUAAACAACUCAAUCAAACCGUUACCCAGAUAGUCCAGCCUCCCGCUGAGAAACUAUCUUUAAAGAUAACGGGAACCUGCACCCAACCAUAUCAACACGCAAGAAUAGAAAACAUGAUGCAUCCUAUUCUUAGUCCUAAUCAGGUUAUCAGCUCAGUCUUAAUUCCUUUCAUCUCAGCUUAGCCCGUGCUAAACAGAGUCCAGUUCCAUAAAUAAAAUAACCCUAAGGACUCUACCAUUCAAUAACAGACUCGAUCUACCCUAAAUUCCAAGUGGAAUUCAAACAAACCAACUCACAGUGUUCUAGGCGAGAAGCUGCUGGUUGAUCGGAGAGGACUUGGCCAAAACCCAAGGGACGCCUUGACAGGAGUGGACUGAGCCGACCUCGACUUGGACAGACCCUCGGCUUGAUCAUGAAGACACUAACAGUUCUGGAUGGACUGAUCUGGACUCGGACAGAACCUCCUCUAGCUUCUGGACAGUUCUUCGGCCUUCCCGGCGGAAUAUCGAGCAAAACUUCGACUGAUCUGAACCCGUGGAUCUGAACUAACUCCGGACAGCACCUCCACUUGACCAUCACAGAAUAUUACUGGCCUGGACGGAUUGAAUUGGACAGAGCUUCCGCCUCACAAUCGUAUAGAAUCAUCAAUUGGACCGAACUGGCCUUCUCGGUCUUCAGAAUCGAUCAAACUAUAGAUCGAACACUUUCAUUUUCUCUCUCUCUCUCUAUCCACGUUUUGAACUUGCUUUGGUGUGUUAUGGAUGUCUGAAACUGAAGGGGGUAGCUGGGUAUUUAUAGAAAACACCAGCCAAUCAGAUUCAGGUUGGUGGCCGCCCGUGUGUUGCUCCGCAUGGCUCUGGACGCAUGCAUGGCGGCACCUCGUGCUCCGCAUGGCUGGCUGCAUGUCCAGGACACAUGCAGGACGCCACCACUCCUCCCAGAUGUCAGGCUGCAUGACUGGAACUCAUGCAAGUCGCCACAGCAUCACACACAUGGCUGGCCUCAUGCUUCGGUUGCAUGCGCGGAGACACCUCGUGCUUGGUCGCUCCACCUCGUGCUUCUAUGUGUCAGGCUGCAUAGACUGCUUUCAUGCACGUCUACACCUCCUCCUUGUGUUGACAUUCAGCUGCUGAUGUGAUAGACAGAACGUCCUGGCCAUAUGCAUAGGGACACCUCGAGCUUCUUGGUCAGUUUACGCGAUUUUUGACCUUUCCGUCAUAUUUUCAUCCCGCGAUCAAUCCUGAAUAUUUGUCUUCUCCCAUUCAGAUGAGUUUAAUAUUUUUAAUAAACUCCAAUCUGAAGUCUGACCUGGGCAGUAAAUAUUUCCCGAUCCUUCGGCUUCAUCGAAGACUUGCAUAAUACUGAAAUUAGGGUUUUAGUCUAAUUUCGGGUUUUCCCAUCGUGCUUUGAACCCGUCGUGCUUAAGUCCCGUCAUGCUUCCAAUGUCUUCAAAAUAAUAUUCCGCUGAUACAAAGUUUCGCGGAAAACUUCGUGCUGAAGAAACAUCAUUCUUCCAAAACGUCGAGCUUCUAAACCGUCGUGCUUUCAAAAAUGUUAUGCUUCCAAAACGUCCGUCUCAUCAAUCUAAGACAUCUUCUAACUAUGGUCGAGCAACUUAUUCGACUCAUAGUUCACUCAGGAUCACUUCUUCGCCCACUUCGUACUUUAAAACUACUCGAUCGAUCCUUAUCGCCCGCGACUCGACCACCACAAAGAUACUCGACCACUCUUUUUUUUUUUAAUGGGUUUCUACAGUGGGUGUCCGCCAGCACACAACGGACGUCCGUGGCUGUCAGUGGCUGUCCCUCAGCACACACAGGACGUCCGUUUCUGUCUGUGUGUGUCCUUGUGUGUCCGUGUGUGUCUGUCAGCACACACAGGACGUCUGUGGCUCUCCAUCAGUACACAUAUCAGCACGCUGGUCCUUGGACUCAGCACGCUGGCCCUUCCCGUGGACUGUUCGGGUGAUUUUGGCCCAAGUGGGCUGUCUAAUCAGUAAACACAGAACGUCCAUGGGUGAUCGUCAGCACACACAGGACGUCCGUGUGUCCGUCCGCACACACAGGAUGUCCGUGUGUCCGUCCGCACACACAGGACGUCCGUGUGUGUCCGUCAGCACACACAGGACGUCCGUGGCUGUCCGUGUGUGUCAGUGUGUGUCCGUCAGCACACACAGGACGUCCGUGGCUGUCCGUGUAAAAUACUCAGAGAAAUCGCAGAGAGAGAGAAAGAAAGAGAGAGGGAGUUUCCGGCCAAAGCAUGGCUGAUUGUGUCGUGGUUAGAUUUCCGGUGUUCUGAUCGUUUAUGAAGCAACCUCCAAUAAAGUAUGUGAUAGAACGCGGUCCACGGAUCAGCACAUGGAGCCGAACCAGCCUGGAGAUCAGAACGUUCUGAAGAUUUCAACUGAGGUUCAUGAUUUUCACCAUACUGGCCAGACUGACCGGACUGUCCCAAAUGCAUCCGGAUGGGAGCUUUGGCUGGAACCAUGGCCAGAUGAUCUAUUUCACUGUACUGUACUUUGUCUUCACCGUCCUGUUUUCCAUUUUAUGAAGAACAGUUGAGACGGAAUCGCAUUCGGACGCACGAAUCCUGAGUUAGGUCAUUGCUAUAUAUUUCUGGACAGUACCGCAUGUACCGCCCGGAUGUCCAGUUUGAGGCUUCAUCAAUACCCAUGUCCAGACGAUCUAAUUCACAGAACUGGAGCUCGUAUUUCCCGUACUGAUUGGCAUUUUAAGAGCAACGGUCAAGACAGAUUUGGAUUCGGACGAGUGGAACUCAAGAUAGGCCGUGACACUUCAAAACUGGCUACUUUGGACUGUCCUGCUUGUGUACUGGCCCAGUCCGCAGGACAUGCUUCAGGAUACAAUGAACCUGGACGGAAUUUGAAGGGUUUUACGCCAGUCAAAGUGUGAUUUCGUGCCUUGACCAGAUCUGGUCAAUUUUAUCAUUUUCUAUGUUUAGAUUUCCCACAUUUUUCUUUAAGUCUUUUGACUAGAACUUCUAUAUAAUGUAACCAUCCGAUCUGAAUAAAAUAAUUUGGUUUUGCUUUCAUUCUUUUGAGUUUUUACUCUCAUUGUUCUUUGUUUAGAACACUUCUUAGUUUCUUGGUGAGGUUAUCUCCAAGUUUCGAUCCUUCUUUUGUUGGACCGGUGCGUCACAUCCGGCAACGAUCGAGGUCUGGUAGUAUCUUUGGGCUAUUCCGCAACCCUUAGUGUCACCGUUCAUACCAUCAGUUCUCAAUCCUCUCGGAUCUGAGUUCAUAUCAACCUUACCGAAAGAGUGAUCCUUAUUUUGGUUCUAUCAAGUGGUAUCAGAGCCACUCUUCCGGUAUCUCUUUUCAUUCCAUCUUUCUCAUCUAUCAUUUUCUUCAUAAAAAAAAAAAAAUCUUCUUUUAUCUAUCUUUGAAUCCGGGCCCCUCUUUACCAUCCAUAUAUAUAAAAAAAAAAAAAAAGAAAGAUCUAAUAAAAAAAAAAUAAAUAAAUAAAUAAAAGAUAUCAAAAGUUUUCAAUUGUGGUUUGGUGGUGGAAGAGUAAGCCUGCCGGCCGAGGAGAAAUCCGGCCUUGGAGGUGGUUAAAACGGAUUUCAAAAAUCAAAAAUCUCUUAUCUUUCUAUCUUGAAAAAAAAAAUCUCUUGUUUGCUUGGAUUUGCCCAUUGAGAUUCUUUGAUUUGUUCUCUUAGAACAUUGAGUAGAAACUUGUGUGUGAUCACCUAAAUCUGAGAGAAACACUUGAGUGGAUGAGAUUAAACACUUGAGAGUGUGAGGUUUUAUUUCCUAACUUUUGUGUUGAGAUUUUCAGGUUAUAAUGUUUGGUCUUCAAAGGAAAAAUACCAAGGAGAAAUCCCCACGACCAUCAGCCUCUCAAUCUUCAUUUAAAUCUUCUUUGAAUUAUUUUGAUGAGUGUGUUAGUGUGCAGGAAAAACCAAACAGGUGGAGCAACGAGCAUGUCAAUACAUCCAAAGGUGAAUCUGAUCCAAGAAGGCGAUUGCUUCAGUUUGAUGUCCAACAAUUUUGUGAUAACUUUGUGAAGGGUGUGGACAAAGCCCUCAAGGACGUCAGCAAGAGCCAAAAGAAGAGCACAUCCACACGUGCCCCAGUAGCUGAGCCAUCCUUUUCCAUCAGUAAGAAAACUCAAGGUGAAUCUGAAAACUGUUUUGAAGAAUUUAAAGAUUUUUCAGAUUUUUCACCUAUAUUUGAUGAAACUGAUGAAGAACCAAUUGAAAAUUUGAUGUCUUGUGAAGAAAGUUGUGAUCUUCCUUAUCUUGAAUCUGAGUUUAUAAAUGAUAAUGAACAGGCUAAUGUAGAACUAACUGUUUUGCAACCGGAGCAUCCGAGUAGCCUUGUUUUGUCUCAACAGGUUUUUGAGGAAGAGCCACUGGAUAUUCCACAUCAGUGCCCAUGUAUUGACACUUGGAUAUCUUUGGAUGAAGUCCCAGAACCUAUCUUUGAUGUGGAGGACGAACCUGAUCCAGUCUUUGAUGAAGAAGCAACAAGCAUCAUAUCCACUUUUAUGGAGAGCCAUCUUUGCUUUGAUUCCGGCACAACUACUGCUCCUUCAUCUCCUGCCCCUUUGCUUCCUGAUCAUCAAGAGCACUGUGAGAAAUCUGAAUUAGUUAUUUCUCUGCCUGACAUGUUUGAUAAGAUCAGUUCUCUUGAUGUGAUUCGUUUUGGUCUUGAUAAGAUAAAAAAAAAUUGUUUUUCAAAAUCUGUUUUUGGAAAUAUGAUUAAUUCUUUUAAAAUAUUUGAACCUGAUAAAUUUCUUGAUCAGCAACGUUUUCAAAAUAACCUUGGCAUCAGUUUUGAAAUUAUUUUGAGCUUUGAUCAGUCCCUGGAACAAAGCAAAGUUUUUGAUCAUUUUGAAAAGUAUCUUGAGCUUGAUAUGAAACAAACUGAUUUUUGUGUUACAAAAUUUUUUGAUUCGUUUGUUUUCUAAGAAAAUAGCUUUGAUCUGAACUCUUCUAGGCAUAGACUGAUCACUGAUGAUUUGUUUGCAUCUUCUCUGGACUUGGACGAUUUCUUAAUUAAAAAGAUGCAGGAACAGAAUUCACAUGAAACUGAAACUGGUUUUUGUGAACUUGAUUUUUGUGAUUCUGUUUUGCAGCCUGAUCUCUUGAGUUUUGAAAAUGAUAAAACUUGGAAUUUUCUGAGAUCAUCUUGUGAGAAUUUUGUUGAUUUGAGUGUUGCUGAUAUAUUGGUCUACAACACUUUCUUUGAAAAAUGUCUUGAGUCUUUGUUAGUUGUUUCUCAAUCUGAACUUAAGCUUGUGUGUUCAGAUGUUGAUAAUGAUAUGCACGUUUUGGAAAUGAUUAAUGUUGCUGCAUAUCUUGAUAAGAUUCUUGUCAGUAAUAUCUACUUUGAUGAGCACCUUGAAAGGCUGAAAAAUGUGCAAUUUGUUCUUGGAAAAGAUAUCUUGAUUUGUGAUUUGAACAAAUAUUUAUCUUGCACAUUUGAUCCUGGCCUUUUAGUGUUUAAAUUGAGUAUACAGGAAAGACAGCUUCAGCCUCUAAGAAUUGAAAGCAUUGGCCGUGCCCAACAACCUCAGAUUUGGGGAAGCUUUGUUGUUCAAACCGGCUACCUUGGUGCCAGCGACAGAGGUUCAGUCCAAGACGGAUAUCUCAACAGUCCGAACGUCUUUUGUCUUGAAUCCAAUUUUAAAAGAAAUCCAACUUAUCAAGGAUUCACUGAGGCCUGGAAUCGCAUGAAAAGCUUCACGGAUGAAGAAGUUAUGAAUUUUCCAAACCGGAGGUUCUUCAGUCCAUCUAUCCGCGAGUACCAGAUUUCUAAAGGAGAUUCAUGCCCCAGAAAGAAUCGGCCUGAGCCAAAACCAAUCCUCCAUGAACCAAAGGUGUUUCCUCAGUCAUUCUCCUGUCUAAACCAAAAGCACUGUAAGGAUCAUGAGUUGAUUGCCUCUACUGUUCAUGAAAAUGUUUUGAAACCGAGAAUUUCAAAAAGAAAACAUAUUCUUACUUGGUUGAAAAACGUUUUGCUCAAACCUUUUCAUGAAUUGAUUUCAUUGAGCUGUGCUUUGAAAUAGAUUUGGUGUAGGAAAAACCAUGAACUAAAAUUGCUUAGGCCAAAGAAUUCUUUUGAUUUUGUUCAUGAUGAUAAUUUUUCAAAUUUGGCAUUGUCUCUUUCUUUCCAUAACAGUUUCUCACCUUGGCCUGAUUUUGAGAUUGAUAAAUCAAUUUUUGGCAACCAGCUUACUUGCUUAAUGCUUGCCCACGUCCUUGAUGAUUAUCCUAAGGGCUUGGAUCCUGAUUUGGAUGUCUUAAGGAUAGAGAAACCCUUUCAUUAUUUCUUUGGCAGAUUUGAUGUGGUUUCUCUAGUUGCUUUGAAUAAGCAGGAUAAGCAUGAUCAGUUUCUAAGGAGAGCAAGCACCAAUGGACGCCAAAGUACUUUGGAUUUGAGGACAAAUCCUUUUGAAGAAGGAGGGAAUGAUAGAACGCGGUCCACGGAUGUGACACCCCCGAUCGUAGAUAACCGGAAAUGACACGGUCAAUGUUCCCUGAUGGUCACCCGAGGUUCUCGAAAUAAAUCCGAUCACCUUAGACCAACAACCAAAGAACAGAGACACUCCUAUCGGAUAUUACUCUAGGCUUUUCAACCCGAUAAAGCAAUAUUCAAUAGUUAGUUCGUCCCGGACAAGGACUAAUAUCAUAUGAGAACUCGUGAUUUAUAAACAUCUUUUAUACAUUAUUUAUUUACUUUAAACAUCUUACAAAGUGUUAUAGUUUACCCUACGGCCUAUCGCCCAACAACGUUUUAAGUAAAUAUACAUCAAAAGGUACGUUGCAAGGACAACAAAAUACUACCGCUGGUUGGCCGCUCCUUCCGUCCAAAAGAGUAAAGUGUCUCCCGCCUAAGGGUUACCUGCACACACGAAUGAGUCAUGAGCAACUAGUUUACUCAGUGAAUCUAGAAUCAAAACACAAUCAAUAAUAAACCAAAAAUUAUCAAAUGGAUAUGCAUGAUCAUGCAAGUACUAGUACUAUACUUUAAUAUCGAUCAUCAUUGUGAAUUCUUAUUUUAAACAUCACUUCCACAACACCCGCCCGUUACCAUACUCAUAUAAUACAAUAUAUAUACUAGACCCGAGAAACCACUAAGGCUAACCGAGACUAGUGAGUUAGCAUCACCAUCAUUGUCGAAUGUCCGGUAUGAACAAUCCGACACUGCAUCGUCAUGCAGUACACGGUCUCCAGGGAGCUACCCCAUCAUCGUGUCUUCAUGACCUUGUUCCGUUCGCAGGACCAAGUCACGGUAAUGCGGGGGCUUUAGGGAUAGUGAAUAUAACAAGAUUUCACAUGCUUUUACUUCCAUAAUUAUUCCAAAAUUAAUCCAUAAUUAAUCCUUAAUUAAUCAUAAUUAACUCUUAAUUAAUCCUAGAUUAAUCCUUAAUUAAUCUCAUAUUAAUCUUUAAUUAAUCCAAGAUUAGUACUUAAUUAAUCAUGAUUACUCUUUAAUUAAUUUCAGAUUAAUCCUUAAUUAAACCAAGAUUAAUCCUUAAUUAAACAAAGAUUAAUUCUUAAUUAAACCAUGAUUAAUCCUUAAUCAAAACCAUGAUUAUUUCAUAAUUAAGAUUAGUACUUGGGAACAAGUACUAUGAUUAUGAUUAACCUCACUUUAACCUUUUGAUUAAUCUUUAAGUGUAAGUGUUUACACUAAGUAAACCCAUACACUUCUUAAAGGAUUAAACUCAAUCAUGUACACAUUCAUGAUCUAUCUCAUCUUCUCUCUAGACUCACCUAAAGAUUAGUCUUGAAACUGGCUUGGACAAGACUUGAGUUCCACUUGAACAAGGCUGAAUGGACAGGACUGGAUACUUCAAGCUUUACUCUACCUCUGACCAAGAUGAACCAAAGGACUAGAUGGCCUCAGCUGAUCCUCUUCUCCAAGGUAAGCUUGUGGCUGGACUGAUCAAAGAGAAAGAUCAAGGUCUGAUCAUGAUCUGAACUCAACUAGGUCUAGGGUUUUAUUUAAAAAUCUCACCUUCUGAUCUUUCCCAAGGUAAGAAACUGAGCUAAGGUUGAAGAUUAGGUCACCACCAAUUUUUUCUUGAUUUAUUUUCUUGAUUUUUCUCUCUGAUUUUUCUGUUCUUCUUUCUCUCUUUCUCACUGAAAUUCUCUAGGUUUUUCUGCAGGGUUCUGAACGUGGGAAGCAGCUGGAGAGGGGUUAAAUGUGAGGUGAGCUUGCUUCAGGUGAGGGUUUCACUCAGGACAAAGCUAAGCUGAGUGGGGACAGCUGGCCAGCUGCUUCAGCACUCUCAGCACAAGCUGCUGUCCUUUCCUUAACCUGAAGAAACUCCAGCCCUUUCAUGUGCUUCUCACAUGACAAUCUAAGAAACAAGGCAAGCAGGCAGCUUGUGAUUGUCAUGUGACAGUUACUGAAGAAGCUAGGCAAGCAGGCAGGUGCAAGUCAUGUGAUUAAAGACUGAGCAAGCAGGCUGGUGGAAGACAUGAGUCUGGUCCAAAAUUAAUUGUAGCAGUUGGUUGAUAAUUUUCAAUAAUUUUUCAACCAAAUAUUCCUUGUCUUUGGCUCUCGUCUUGCUCUCGGAAAAUCUCUUCCAGUUUAAUAAAAAUUCGACCAAAAUAUUUAAGACUCGACCAAACCAUCAAGUGAAGGUCUUUCAACCACAAGACAGUCCCUUCGAGAAAUUAAUCUACCGGGUCGAUCUUUAUUUUUAUUAAUCCUUGUUGAACCAACUAAAAACUGGUCGAGCGGGAUUUUUCUCGAACAAAAAAUUUAUUGGCUCAUGAGGGUUAUUACACUCUUCCCCCCUUAAAAGAAUUCGUCCCCGAAUUCUCAAAAUACAAGUGUACACCCUUUACUGGACGACUGGGGUAUCUGAGAAGAGUUCUGGAUAAUCAACUCGGAACUUAUCUUCAUCCUCCCAUGUUAUAACAACUCUCUGUCGCUUUCCCCAAAAUACUUGAACUUGCGAAAUUUCCCUGUUCUUCAAUUUCUUGAUACGACGCUCGCCUAUCCGCAAAGGACCUUCAGGAUAAGUGAGGUUAGGUUGCAAGUUCUCUGGUCGCUGCGGCUCGACCAUAUUCGGAUCUGGUAUAUGCUUACGCAGCAUCGACACAUGAAAUACCGGAUGCAUAGGCAUAUCGGGUGGAAGUUCCAGUCUAUAGGCUACUUCUCCAAUUCUGGCGACAAUUCGGUAUGGCCCAAUGUAACGAGUAGCUAGCUUCCCAAUUUUUCCAAAUCGAUCCUUUCCUUUUUGUGCAGCUACUUUCAAGAAGACUAAAUCAUUUAUUUCAAAAAUGACUUCUCUUCUACCGCGGUCUGCAUACUUCUUUUGUCGGUCUUGAGCCUUCUUCAUAUUGGCUUGAAUUAUCCUUACUUUUUCUGCAGCCUCAUCUACUAUUUCUGGACCAAGAAUUCUUCUCUCACCAACUUCUGCCCAACAUACGGGCGUUCUACAAGGUCGACCAUACAAUGCUUCGUAUGGUGACAUACCAAUACUAGAGUGGUAGCUAUUGUUGUAGGAGAAUUCUAUCAGCGGCAAAAACUUUUCCCACGGACCAUUCCAGUCUAAGAUACACAACCUUAACAGAUCUUCCAGAGUUCUAAUGGUUCUUUCGGUUUGGCCAUCGGUUUCUGGAUGAAACGCUGUACUCAUAUGCAAAUCAGUUCCCAAGGCUUGUUGAAAGGCUCGCCAAAAUUCAGCUGUAAAGCGCGGGUCUCGGUCUGAAACUAUAUUUGCUGGUACCCCAUGAAGCUUUACUAUUUCCUCCAAAUACAGCUCUGCUAACGUCUCAACUUUGUCUGUAAGUUUCAUCGGUAGGAAAUGAGCAGAUUUGGUGAGACGAUCGACAAUCACCCAAACUGCAUCAUUCCCACGGCCGGGUGCUCGAGGUAAACCAGAAAUAAAGUCCAUCGCUACUGCAUCCCAUUUCCAUUCAGGGAUAGGUAGGCUUUGAAGUAAGCCACCUGGGACUUGGUGUUCAGCUUUUAUCCGCUGGCAACUCUGACACUGGGAAACCCAUAUGGCAACAUCUCUCUUCAUCUCUGGCCAGUGGUAAUAUCAUCUGAUAUCUCGAUACAUCUUUGUGCUCCCGGGAUGAAUACUUAAGAGAGAAUGGUGUGCAGUCCUUAGAAUCUCCUCUUGAAGUCCUUCUCCUUUUGGAACAGUUACUCGACCAUUGAGUAACAAAGUUCCAUCACUUGCAACUUGAUAUCCUCUGAUGGUUCCUUCAUUCAACUGCUCUCGUAUCUUCUUCAGGUUUACAUCUCUCAUUUGAUAUUCUCUGAUACGAGAAAGUAAACCAGCUUGGCUUACUGCUUGUAGUCCUAGAGGUUCUCUUUCCUCUCCUUCUAAGGCAGCCAAACUAAUCAUCUUGAAUUCCGCUUCCAAGUUCUGGAGUUCUUUUUCAACAUCUACAUCAACUUUCCUUCUGCUCAACGCAUCAGCAACAACGUUGGCUUUUCCUGGAUGGUAUAUGAUCUGCAUGUCGUAAUCAGCUAUGAACUCCAUCCAUCGUCUUUGCCUUAGGUUCAAAUCAGGUUGAGUGAAAAGAUACUUAAGGCUUUUAUGGUCAGUGAACACUUGGAUCUUCUCACCAUACAAGUAUGAUCGCCAAAUCCGAAGGGCAAAUACUACUGCAGCCAUCUCUAGGUCAUGUGUCGGAUAAUUCACUUCAUGCUUUCUUAGUUGCCUAGAUGCAUAGGCGAUUACCUUAUCUUCUUGCAUCAGCACACAACCUAAACCAACAUGAGAUGCAUCCGUAUACACGGUGUAUGGUUGGUUAGGCUUAGGCAAUGCUAAGAUAGGUGCAGUCGUCAAAGCUUCUUUUAACUUUUCGAAUGCUUUCUCGGUUUCUAUACUCCAUUCAUAAGCAAUCCCUUUACCGGUAAGACGAGUCAAAGGCUUUGAUACGCUUGCAAAUGCUUGGACAAACUUUCUGUAAUAGCCGGCCAAUCCGAGAAAACUUCGAAUCUCGGUAACAGAAGUCGGAUGCGGCCAUUCCUUAAUAGCAGCUAUCUUUUCUGGAUCGACGGCAACUCCUUCUUCUGACACUCGAUGUCCUAAGAAGCCAACUUCUCUUUUCUAGAAAUGACAUUUACUAAGCUUAGCAAAAAGCUUUUGAUCUCGGAGACGCUCCAAAACUAGUCGUAGAUGCCUUCCGUGUUCUUCUGCACUUUGGGAAUAUAUGAGGAUGUCGUCAAUGAAUAUGGUAACAAAUUCAUCCAGGUAAUCCCGAAAUACUUCAUUCAUCAGUCGCAUAAAUGCAGCCGGGGCAUUGGUAAGACCAAAAGGCAUUACUAUGAACUCAAAGUGUCCAUAGCGGGUUCUAAAGGCGGUCUUCAUGAUAUCGGUUUCGAAAAUCAGAAUCUCAUGAUAACCUGAAGCUAAAUCAAUCUUCGAAAACCAACUUGCGCCUUGUAACUGGUCUAAUAGCUCAUCAAUUUUUGGGAGUGGGUACUUGUCUUUUAUGGUUACGUUAUUGAUUCCACGAUAAUCAAUACAUAACCGCAUGCUUCUGUCUUUCUUCUUUACAAAUAGCACGGGUGCUCCCCAUGGUGAUGAACUAGGACGUAUGAAACCUUUGUCUAACAAAUCAGCUAACUGCUGCUUCAACUCGGCAAGUUCUGCUGGUGCCAUUCGGUAUGGUGCCUUUGCUAUUGCAGCUGAUCCGGGUUCUAAGGUUAUACUAAAGGGGUUACUCCUAGACGGCGGCAAUCCCUCUAAUGCCUUAAACACGUCCUCGUAUUCUCUGACUACUGGUAUUUCUUCCAUGUUCUGCUCUUUCUCGUCUUCUACUGGUCCAGCAACUAAGGUCACUAAGUAUACUUCUUCACCCUUCUCCAAAACGUUUUCAAUUCUCAAUGCUGACACUAAUGACGCUCCAUCACUUGGUACUAUGCCAUGGUAAGCUAAAGGGGUUGGGUAUCUCUCUCGAAAACAAUCUUCCCUCGACCACAAUCAAGGUGAGCUCGGUAACUUGACAGCCAAUCCAUCCCUAAGAUUACCUCGUACCUCUCUAAGGGGAGAACUAACAAAUCAGCCGGAAAAACCAUAUCUUGGAUAAUGAUUGGAACUCUUAGAAUACAGCCUUCAGUUUCAAGAACUUGAUCUCCGGGAGUUAGAACAGGAAUGGAUAAAUUCACCUUAGUGAAUUCUCCAUCGAAUCGGGAUGCUACUUCGGGAGCUACAAAACUAUGUGUUGCUCCUGAAUCGAAAAGGAUGUGGGCGGAUAUUCCACCCACAAGCAAAGUCCCUGUCAAUAAUUGACUUUACCGUCAAUUACUUACUCAACCACUUUUAUUAUUAUUUUUUUUUUAUAUCACUAAUUCACAAAUCAUUAAAAAAUUAUGCAACACUCAAUUGGGUAAGAAAACAAACCUGAAAUUGGACCCUGAGGUGGUCCGGAUAGUCCUGGUAACUCUAAAGCGUAAGCCCUACCAGCAGUGGCUUGACGCUUAGCAGGAGGUAAGGGUAAAGGUGGGUUAACUGGUCUGGCGGGUCGAGCACUCGAAACAACAGGCUGAGCAAGAUGAGUGCGUGGACAUGAUGUCGCAUAAUGUCCUCGCUCUCCACACGUGAAACAAGUGAUGUGAGAUGGUACAGCCGGUUGGAACUGUCCCACGGUCGGACAAUCCCUCCUAACAUGGCCCAGCUGGCCACAAGUGAAACAAGUCGGGGUUCUAGGUCUAGAACCUCCAGAACGACCUCCCCGAAAAGCUCUACCUCCUCGUCCUCGCUGCAUAGCAGAAUGCGGCUGAGGCUGGAACGGAACAGAUGGACGUCUAGGUUGUGUGGCAUUGCUAGAAGAAGCUCUCUCAGCAGCAAUGGCCUCCUCAACAUUCACAGCACGCUCAACAAGAUCAGCAAGCCGAUGAAACUCUACUGCCUCAAGUCUGCUCCUGAUAUAUGGGUUAAGUCCUCGAAGGAACUUACGGAUAAUCAUCAUCUCGUCCUCUCGACCAUAGUGGACAUACUUCCUGAGACGGGUGAACUCUGCCUCAUACUUCCUAACAGAUAAUCCUCCCUGAACUAGCUCCAUGAAUUUAAUCUCCAAUCGAUCACGGGCUUCCGGUGGGAAGUACUUUCGAACGAACGCUGUACGGAAGUCAGCCCAACUCAGAUUGAAGUCUCCAAAGUUCCUCUCUACGCAUAACCACCAACUGAUGGCGUCCUUCUCUAGAUAGUAAACAGCCACGUCCUUUUUAAAUUCUUCCGGACAACGGGUUGCAGCAAAGUUCUGCUCGAGAUUGUGAAGCCACGCAUCAGCUUCAAAGGGAUCAGUGCCUCCCUGGUAAUGCUUCGUCCCCAAGUUCUUCAUAAUCAUGACUAUCUUCAGGAAGUCCGGGUGAGAAGAGGUAGGUACUGGAGCUGGCUGAGCACGCUGUGCUUCUCGCUGUGCAUUCAGUGCUUGAUAUUGCAAAUUCACCAUCUCAGCCAUCAGUUCCAGAAGUGCUAUCAUAGCUGGAUCGGUUGGCGCUGGUUGAGGUUGUGCUGCCGGAAUAGGUGCGGCAGGGGCUGGUGGAAUAUGAGCGGCAGGAGCUGGUGGAAUAUCAGCGGCAGGAGAUGCAGGAGCUGCGGGAUGAUCUCCAUGCACUGGACUAUCGUGUACCACAUCCACCUCGAUGUCCAUAAAGUAUGGGUCUGGAGACAAAGGAAUGUGCUCCGGUGUCUGAUCAUAUGACCCUUCAGACGGGUCAGUCUCAAAGCUAGAGCCUGAAGGUGUAGCCUCAAAGCUAGGAGUCGAAAGUGGUGCCGGAGUAGAUGGCGGCGAGGAGUCUGAAGAUGAUGAAAUAGGUAUCGGUAGAUAAUGUCCACCACGAUGUGCCUGUCUUGGUGGCAUCUGCAACAAAAGAUCAUGGUAAGUUUCUACCCAGGUCUAUCAAUUCCUAAAAGAAGGAACAAACCAGCAUAUCCUAAUUAUCCUUGCGACACAUUUUUGACUCGAAAGUUUUUUUUUGAAACAAGUCCCAUUCUAGCAUCGUAUAACAAUGCUCUGAUACCACCUUUGUGACACCCCCGAUCGUAGAUAACCGGAAAUGACACGGUCAAUGUUCCCUGAUGGUCGACCCGAGGUUCUCGAAAUAAAUCCGAUCACCUUAGACCAACAACCAAAGAACAGAGACACUCCUAUCGGAUAUUACUCUAGGCUUUUCAACCCGAUAAAGCAAUAUUCAAUAGUUAGUUCGUCCCGGACAAGGACUAAUAUCAUAUGAGAACUCGUGAUUUAUAAACAUCUUUUAUACAUUAUUUAUUUACUUUAAACAUCUUACAAAGUGUUAUAGUUUACCCUACGGCCUAUCGCCCAACAACGUUUUAAGUAAAUAUACAUCAAAAGGUACGUUGCAAGGACAACAAAAUACUACCGCUGGUUGGCCGCUCCUUCCGUCCAAAAGAGUAAAGUGUCUCCCGCCUAAGGGUUACCUGCACACACGAAUGAGUCAUGAGCAACUAGUUUACUCAGUGAAUCUAGAAUCAAAACACAAUCAAUAAUAAACCAAACAAUUAUCAAAUGGAUAUACAUGAUCAUGCAAGUACUAGUACUAUACUUUAAUAUCGAUCAUCAUUGUGAAUUCUUAUUUUAAACAUCACUUCCACAACACCCGCCCGUUACCAUACUCAUAUAAUACAAUAUAUAUACUAGACCCGAGAAACCACUAAGGCUAACCGAGACUAGUGAGUUAGCAUCACCAUCAUUGUCGAAUGUCCGGUAUGAACAAUCCGACACUGCAUCGUCAUGCAGUACACGGUCUCCAGGGAGCUACCCCAUCAUCGUGUCUUCAUGACCUUGUUCCGUUCGCAGGACCAAGUCACGGUAAUGCGGGGGCUUUAGGGAUAGUGAAUAUAACAAGAUUUCACAUGCUUUUACUUCCAUAAUUAUUCCAAAAUUAAUCCAUAAUUAAUCCUUAAUUAAUCAUAAUUAACUCUUAAUUAAUCCUAGAUUAAUCCUUAAUUAAUCUCAUAUUAAUCUUUAAUUAAUCCAAGAUUAGUACUUAAUUAAUCAUGAUUACUCUUUAAUUAAUUUCAGAUUAAUCCUUAAUUAAACCAAGAUUAAUCCUUAAUUAAACCAAGAUUAAUCCUUAAUUAAACCAUGAUUAAUCCUUAAUCAAAACCAUGAUUAUUUCAUAAUUAAGAUUAGUACUUGGGAACAAGUACUAUGAUUAUGAUUAACCUCACUUUAACCUUUUGAUUAAUCUUUAAGUGUAAGUGUUUACACUAAGUAAACCCAUACACUUCUUAAAGGAUUCAAAGACUUUACUAUCUAAUUGAGAUACUACAAUUUAAACUCAAUCAUGUACACAUUCAUGAUCUAUCUCAUCUUCUCUCUAGACUCACCUAAAGAUUAGUCUUGAAACUGGCUUGGACAAGACUUGAGUUCCACUUGAACAAGGCUGAAUGGACAGGACUGGAUACUUCAAGCUUUACUCUACCUCUGACCAAGAUGAACCAAAGGACUAGAUGGCCUCAGCUGAUCCUCUUCUCCAAGGUAAGCUUGUGGCUGGACUGAUCAAAGAGAAAGAUCAAGGUCUGAUCAUGAUCUGAACUCAACUAGGUAUAGGGUUUUACUUAAAAAUCUCACCUUCUGAUCUUUCCCAAGGUAAGAAACUGAGCUAAGGUUGAAGAUUAGGUCACCACCAAUUUUUUCUUGAUUUAUUUUCUUGAUUUUUCUCUCUGAUUUUUCUGUUCUUCUUUCUCUCUUUCUCACUGAAAUUCUCUAGGUUUUUCUGCAGGGUUCUGAACGUGGGAAGCAGCUGGAGAGGGGUUAAAUGUGAGGUGAGCUUGCUUCAUGUGAGGGUUUCACUCAGGACAAAGCUAAGCUGAGUGGGGACAGCUGGCCAGCUGCUUCAGCACUCUCAGCACAAGCUGCUGUCCUUUCCUUAACCUGAAGAAACUCCACCCCUUUCAUGUGCUUCUCACAUGACAAUCUAAGAAACAAGGCAAGCAGGCAGCUUGUGAUUGUCAUGUGACAGUUACUGAAGAAGCUAGGCAAGCAGGCAGGUGCAAGUCAUGUGAUUAAAGACUGAGCAAGCAGGCUGGUGGAAGACAUGAGUCUGGUCCAAAAUUAAUUGUAGCAGUUGGUUGAUAAUUUUCAAUAAUUUUUCAACCAAAUAUUCCUUGUCUUUGGCUCUCGUCUUGCUCUCGGAAAAUCUCUUCCAGUUUAAUAAAAAUUUGACCAAAAUAUUUAAGACUCGACCAAACCAUCAAGUGAAGGUCUUUCAACCACAAGACAGUCCCUUCGAGAAAUUAAUCUACCGGGUCGAUCUUUAUUUUUAUUAAUCCUUGUUGAACCAACUAAAAACUGGUCGAGCGGGAUUUUUCUCGAACAAAAAAUUUAUUGGCUCAUGAGGGUUAUUACAACGGAUCAGCACAUGGAGCCGAACCAGCCUGGAGAUCAGAACGUUCUGAAGAUUUCAACUGAGGUUCAUGAUUUUCACCAUACUGGCCAGACUGACCGGACUGUCCCAAAUGCAUCUGGAUGGGAGCUUUGGCUGGAACCAUGGCCAGAUGAUCUAUUUCACUGUACUGUACUUUGUCUUCACCGUCCUGUUUUCCAUUUUAUGAAGAACAGUCGAGACGGAAUCGCAUUCGGACGCACGAAUCCUGAGUUAGGUCAUUGCUAUAUAUUUCUGGACAGUACCGCAUGUACCGCCCGGAUGUCCAGUUUGAGGCUUCAUCAAUAUCCAUGUCCAGACGAUCUAAUUCACAGAACUGGAGCUCGUAUUUCCCGUACUGAUUGGCAUUUUAAGAGCAACGGUCAAGACAGAUUUGGAUUCGGACGAGUGGAACUCAAGAUAGGCCGUGACACUUCAAAACUGGCUACUUUGGACUGUCCUGCUUGUGUACUGGCCCAGUCCGCAGGACAUGCUUCAGGAUACAAUGAACCUGGACGGAAUUUGAAGGGUUUUACGCCAGUCAAAGUGUGAUUUCGUGCCUUGACCAGAUCUGGUCAAUUUUAUCAUUUUCUAUGUUUAGAUUUCCCACAUUUUUCUUUAAGUCUUUUGACUAGAACUUCUAUAUAAUGUAACCAUCAGAUCUGAAUAAGAUAAUUUGGUUUUGCUUUCAUUCUUUUGAGUUUUUACUCUCAUUGUUCUUUGUUUAGAACACUUCUUAGUUUCUUGGUGAGGUUAUCUCCAAGUUUUGAUCCUUCUUUUGUUGGACCGGUGCGUCACAUCCGGCAACGAUCGAGGUCUGGUAGUAUCUUUGGGCUAUUCCGCAACCCUUAGUGUCACCGUUCAUACCAUCAGUUCUCAAUCCUCUCGGAUCUGAGUUCAUAUCAACCUUACCGAAAGAGUGAUCCUUAUUUUGGUUCUAUCAGUAUGGGAGACCGAGAGUAGGAGAAGAACAUGGAGAACCCUGACACGGUUCAGAAGGUACGUGGUGGGCUAUGGCCACAUCAGGCCGAACAGACGAACCUUGUGGUCGCACCGCGGCUCUGGUCGGUUCAUUAGACCUAGCCGCUUCUCCUCUCCUUGUUUCUAUCCGGUCCUUUCUCUUCUUUCUGAUUAUACACAAAGGGUUGUGUUGGUUCAGUCCAAGGGACACGUCCCUAGACUUGGCCAGUCAUAACCAAACCGCUAACCUAGACACUGGUCGGUUAAACGGUCGGUUCGAAUCGCACCAUGUACUGGGCGGUUGGGCUAAACGGUUGGCCUUGUCCCAAAAGGCACGAGUUGCCAAGAGUCACGAGUUACCAAGGGUUGUGAGUAACCAAGGGUCAUGAGUUACCAAAGGUUGUGAGUUUCCAAAGGGUGUAAGUGACCAUGG